ensembl:lncRNA
GGCGGAGUGGGGCGCAGCCGGAGUGCCUCUCCAGUUAGGGUUCCAGGCCCUGGAGUAAGGCAACGUAAGCAGAAGGAAGGAAGGGGUCCCCGGAACCCAGGAAGGAGCCGAAGCGAGAAUUAAGCCCAGGAGGCGAGAAGAGAGCUUCCAAAGAAGAAGUUGGAGGUACUGGUGGCGGCCCUACCUGCGCCGGGAUCCCAGAGGAAGGGCAGCUCACCCGCAGGCCGCCGAGGCCCGGGACCCCAGGCCUCCCGGAGAAACGCCCGGGAGUGGGCGGCGAUGAGCGGAAGGCAGGCGUGGGUGAGCUGGGGUCCGGACGCCCACAGAGGACCCGCCUCUGUCCAUCCAGGAGAGGCCUGCCGAGCUCUAGCGCAGGUGUCGGGCUCAGGCCCUACGGGCUGGAAGCGGCCCGUACCUGGGGAGCUGGAGCUUCUCACAGUCACCUGAAAUAAAGGCGCUGCUUUCCUCACCACAGCCUGAGAUGACCUAUAGAUGUUACUGCACUCGGUGCACGCUACUGAUGUAACGUAAGGAUCCUUCUAGCUGGGAGAAACCCUGAAAACUCUUUGCCAAGUGACAGAAAUCGAAAGAAACACGACACCUUUCGGAAACAGGAAGUUACCUCACACUUGAAGGUUCAGUAGCAUAACUGUGAUGGGGAAGCAGCUGUCUUUGCCAAACUUCUCAUAUAUCACCAACCAGAAAUGCAUCUUCAGUGUCAAAUAAUUGUUAUUUUUUCAAUAGAAGAUAAUUGGAAAUUCUCUGAAAUAUAUCUGACUUAGAAGGCAAGACAGAGUUUGUUAUUAUUUCGGAGGAUUUCUGGUACUAAAUAACAGCAGAGUUGAAAAAUCUAAGAAGCAAGGUGCCAUGUUGUGAACCACCAGAUGGAGACAGUCAUACAGAAAGGAGCCUAGGGUGACCUUCAGCCAACAACCGGGCAAGAAUUCAGUCCCUCAGCUUGGCAGCAUGUAAGGAAUUGAAAGCUGCCAACAGCCUGAGGAAGCUCUUACCUCAAAUGUUCUCACAGUCCCAGUCAAUAUUUCAAUCCAGAUAGAAAUGAGCAGAAGAAAAGCAGAUGGAAGAAAAACAGGAGUGAAAGAAGAAGAAAGAAUGAUAUGGUGAAAAAUAGAAAAAAGGUUCUCCAAACUUGGAUACCCCUGAAAUGUUACUGGAACCCUCUGCAGUAAGCUCCAGUGUCCUGCCCAGUAUACGACACAGGCCUAAGAAAAGUACUAAAGGAUAGAACUAAGAGAGGAAGAAAGUGAGAUGCUAGGAUGACCAAUGCUAGUGCAACCUGCAACUGAUAAAGGUGCUGGCCAGUCAAAGCUACUGAUUUCUAUUAAUAAUCAAUUGGAAUAAAGGCAAUCUACAUGUAAGGAUGGCACUACAUGUGAGGAUGUGCAAUUAUAUGGUUUCUAUGGAAAUUAAUGUAAGCAGGACUCAUAAAAGACAAGACAAAGCAUUUUCAAAUUAGGAACAGAAUAGAAAAAAUAUAUGGUUGUAAUUAGAACAUUGUCCUUCUAGUUAAAAAGGAUUUAGUUAUGGGAACAAAAUUUGGGUGCAAGUUACUCUGACCUCGACAUGUAGGCUUCGGCCAGACUCACUUCUAUAAACAAGCCAAUUGUGGGGUUAACUCUUCACAGCCUGCACUGCUUACAGCCUGCUUUGGGGCAUAAUCAAUACUGUAGUCUCCUGCACUCCAGACUUGCUUCUAAUCUCUUCCUUUUCUAUUCUUGUACUUUUUCCCGAACACCUUUUACGUUUUCUCCUUUGAGGGUAAAAAUCACCAUAUUGAGGAGAUAUUUACUAUAUACAAUUUUCUGGUCUGUUUUAAAUUUUGUUAUAUAUCUACAAAUCUUUGUAUACUUAAAGAUGGCAAAUUAAUAGUUACCAGAGUUUGUGAUUUUCUAGCCUGUAUUUAAUGUUAUUUUUAUUACUGAUUGUACUACUUUAGCUAAGGUGACAUAACUGUUCUAAUCAAUUGCUCCUCCUUGUAGGCCAAGACUGAGAUGGCCUGAGGGUCAUAAAUAAUACUAUAGGCCAGAGCUAAAGAACCAGGGGGUAGGCCAAAUUAGGUAGCAACUUUUAAUCCCCAAUAAAUUGAAGAGGUUGGAUCUUGCAACAGACUCAAAACCCAGAAGACAGCUACAAGCGGAAGACAUCUUUGAGAAGUAGUCAUAUCCUAAGGGUUCCUGAACUAGCAAUAACGCUAACUAUCAUAAUCCAUUAACAAGCAUCAAUGCAGGAAAUGAACUGAAAAAUAUAGAAAAUGAAAAGACAUAGGAGGAAAAUGCAAGCCCAGACUUCUAGCUCACCAAAGGCAAACCCAAGGAGGCAAUGAGGUGGAACAAUUCGAAAGCCACCCACCUGGACUCUCUGUAGCAGUGGAAAUAACAAAACAAAUGUUGAGGAUCUAGAAAAAAUAAAAUCAAAGGUAAUUUCUCAGAUAACUACUGAGAUGAUGAUCCUAGUGAAGAAUAUAGUUAGUGAAUCUAGAGCAGAUAAGGAUAAAAAAUAGAAAGCUUAGGAAAAUGAUGGAAAACAUGAACAUCCAAGAUAAAAAAGAAAUGGCAUCCAUGAAACAGAUACAAAUACAAAUCCAAGAAAUUAAAAAUUUUAUUGAAAGCGUACAUAGCAGAAUGAACUGAUGUGAGGGCAGAAUAUUGGAUCAAGAAGACAGAAUUGCAGUUAGUGAUCAGGAAAAAAGAAGAUUUAUUAUAAACAGCAAGGAACCCCAAAAUAUUAACCCAACAGAUGCUAGAUGAUGCAAAAAAGAAAAACGUAAGAUUGAUCAGACUCAAUGAAAAAUCAAUAGAUAGCAAAUAUGACAUAAAAAUAAAUUUGUUCACAGAAGUAAUGGCAGAAAACUUUCAAACCAUGGAAAAAGAAUUUGACAAAUAAUUGAAGCAUAUAGAACUCCAAUCAGCCAUGAUGAAAAAAAUUACACCAAGGCGUAUGAUAGUCAAGAUUCCAGAAAUUCAACACAAGAACAGAAUAUGAAAAGCUGUUAGAGAAAAUAAACAAAUCACCUAUAAUGGAAAGACCAUCAGAAUCACAGACUUCCCAGCACAAAUCAUAAAGUCAAGGAGAGCUUUGAGUAAAAUAUUUUAAGUCCUAAAAGAAAACAACCUCCAACCCAGAUCAAUGUACCUCAAAAAAUUAUCUUUCAAAAUUGAUGGAAAAAUAAGAUGCUUCCAUGAUAAAGAACACCCGAAGAAAUUCAUGACCACCAAACCAGCACCCUAAAAGGUUUUGAAGGGAUCUAGAAAGAGACAGUGAAGACUACAAUUACAUGAACCCCAACAGAAUGAAUAAGCCAGACAUGCAAGUAAUUAAAAGGAAAGAGAGGGAACAGACAAAAGGAAAAUAACAUGUCAAAGAUAAGUCAAUACAUAUCAGUUAAAACCAUCAGUGUAAAUUGUCUCAAUUCAUCAAUCAAAUGAAACAGACUGGCAGAGUGGAUCAGGAAACAAGAUCCAACAAUUUAUUUCCAACAAUAAACAUAUUUAACUCAAAAAGAAAUUUAUAGACUGAAAGUCAAAGGAUGAAGGACAAUACUUUGUGUAACAGGAACCCAGAAAAAAAGCAGAGAUAGCUACUCCAUUAGCAGACUAAGUGGAAUUCAAGCCAAAACUGAUCAGAAG